GACAGAGGGUGCAAACGUUGUUCGGAAUCACUGGGCGUAAAGCGCGUGUAGGCGGCUAAGUAAGUCGGGCGUGAAAUCCCACGGCUCAACCGUGGAAGUGCACUCGAAACUGCAUAGCUAGAGUCCUGGAGAGGAAGGUGGAAUGCUUGGUGUAGAGGUGAAAUUCGUAGAUAUCAAGCGGAACACCGGUGGCGAAGGCGGCCUUCUGGACAGUGACUGACGCUGAGACGCGAAAGCGUGGGGAGCAAACAGG
rnacentral:rRNA from 1 species